CGCAAAUUACACAAUGCAGUCGAUAGAGACCCAUAAAACCAAUAAAAAUGGUAAUAAAAAGGAAAAAUCUAUCAGUUAGAUAUUUUCAGAUUUUUAUAAAAAUAAUCCAAUCAAACUAAAAAUUAAACUUUCAAUUUUAACUAAACUGAAAAAUCGAAUGAAAAUAGUUCAGUUUGAUUUUUCGGUUACAAUUGUUUUUCUCACCCCUGAUUAUUAGAGUUACUAUUGAGACAAAUAAUUUUUAAAUGCAUUAACAUGAUAAAUUUUUUAACUAUCUUAUUCAAUGGCAUCACUACUUGAUAAGAAUGGGCUCUGAUG
rnacentral:misc_RNA from 1 species